rnacentral:rRNA from 1 species
CAUUACGCUCUGUGCCGUGCCUUUGGGUGACUACACCCAUUGGUUAUAGCCAGCAAACCCUUGUUCAUUAAUACCCUUUGUGAUUUCCUCGGUAGGGACGCCUGCCAGUGGAACCCCUUAAACUCUUCUGUAUGCAAGUAUUCAAUUAUUCAGAAUAAUCAAAUUAUUACAACUUUCAACAAUGGAUCUCUUGGUUCUGGCAUCGAUGAAGAACGCAGCGAAAUGCGAAAAGUAGUGUGAAUUGCAGACUUUAGUGAAUCAUCGAAUCUUUGAACGCACAUUGCGCCCCUUGGCAUUCCAUUGGGCAUGCCUGUUCGAGCGUCAUUUCCACUCUCAAGCAAUGCUUGGUGUUGGGUGUUUGUUUGUGCUUAUUGCAUGAACUCGCCUUAAAAGUAUUGGCAGCAGCUUACCAGCCUCCCGCGCAGCACAAUGCGCUCUAUGGGGUUUGGCAGGCCAGCGUCCACAAGAUAUUUCUAGGUUG